UAAAACGUGGGCUCCACUCCCAGCAGUUCAACAUCUGGCCGUCUUUGUCCCAUGCUCUUAAAUCUUGCUAAGGCUUGGGUUUUGUUUGUAAUAGAAAUUCUAAAGCAGGGACAGAAGAAGUUAUCUUUUCUAAAUUGCCCACCUCUGUUGUCUAAUUAUUCCACUGAGGAAAACACUUGGUCCUGGAUUACUUCGCUGAGCUCAGAUAUGUUUUGCUGACACACAGAGUCUGGGCAGCAUCCAGCCCCCCGUUUACUCCCUGGUCUUUAAGUCUAGGUCAUUUCAGGACCAGGACAGUUUGGCACUGGGACGUGUUUCCCAGAAGUACUAAUAGUUCGAGAGAGGAGCAAGUGUCUUCACAUCUGCAGGUCUGGGUGCCGAACUUUCUACUGUCGAAGCCUGAGGUGAGAUGUCUGGCCGUGUUGCUAGUGCCGUCGCCCUCAAGAAGCCAAACAGGCUCUCAGAGUCUCUCAGGCCCUGCCCCCGGACGUGGCCCCGCCCCAGAGCAUGCUGGGCAGGACCUCCCCAUAGAUCCCUCCCAUUGCCAAUGUAUUCCUCCAGAGGAUUCUGAGCUCUGCUUGGUGUUUCCAGCUGUGAUGAGUUUUUAUGAAGAAAAGUUCCCAUCUGAUGACUUCUCUGUUUCCCUCUGGUGGUCCAGCACAUAUGAUCAAUGAGCGAGGAGUGUGGACAAGGUGUAGGAAAGUGGAAUUGUUUUGAGAACUUAGGCAAGCGAGUUGACUGAGAAAACAAUCACAGAAGCUCCCCCGAGACAGGGCCUCUGUUUGUUGCCUCCACUGGGUGUCCCAAGUGCUUGGAAGAGCGUCUGGCACAUGGUAACACAGGAGGAAUGACUGGAUUCUGAGGCAGUGGUGGAGCUGAGCAACAGAUGUAGAACAGAAGUUUAUGGGGCACAAACACACUUGUGUGAUUUUAUCCAAGAGGAAGCAGGCCCUUAUUUGAAGGCAGUUCUAAAACAGGCAGAGUUGGAUUUUGCUAGACAGGACGAAUGAAAGAAGGGGGUAGGCUGUUUAGAGCAGAGCAGUAUAUUUAGGUUUAGGAUUAAGUGAUGCCCCAUGAAGUUUUCCUUGGAGAGGGAGGAAAUGAAGACAAAGGUUGUCAGGUAAGCAGGGGAAAGUAUGGAGUGGCUUGUAGUUCCUGAAUAGGUUGAGGCAUUAGCAUGCUGAGGGCAGAAGCUGAGAGGAUAAAGGGAGGAAUGUCAGACUGUAUUUUUUCAGAACACACAAGUGUUGCUGGUGAUAAGUUCUAGGAUAUGGCCAUAACUGAACUGGAAUGAAGGUAAAGGACUCUAAGAUGAGAAGGAGCAGACAGUGAGAGAUCAGAUCAUUGGAUGGUCUAUCUGCAUGGAUGUUGGGGCCUCUGAUUGAUUCCUUCCCCUUUGAGUUCCUUUCCUGUCCACAGAAUUGGCAUUUCCUCUAACUCUAACCUUCAGUCCAUGGCAUGACUCUGGACAAGAAGGCAGAAAUGGGGUGGUGAGAGAGAGGGUUGAAGUAGACAUCCGUUUUGUUUUUGUUUUUAUUUUGACACUCAGCAUUCACUCACCUUCUAAAAAUAGUCCUUCUUUUGCCCUCUGGGGAUCUAACCCCGUUGUCAGUUUCAGUCCAUGUGAAGUGGAGUGUUUAUCACUAACGCUCUUACUUUAAAGGAGGGCAUUGA
rnacentral:lncRNA from 1 species